AUUGAACGCUGGCGGCAGGCCUAACACAUGCAAGUCGAGCGGUAGCACAGAGAGCUUGCUCUUGGGUGACGAGCGGCGGACGGGUGAGUAAUGUUUGGGAAACUGCCUGAUGGAGGGGGAUAACUACUGGAAACGGUAGCUAAUACCGCAUAAAGUUGCAAGACCAAAGUGGGGGACCUUCGGGCCUCAUGCCAUCAGAUGUGCCCAGAUGGGAUUAGCUAGUAGGUGGGGUAACGGCUCACCUAGGCGACGAUCCCUAGCUGGUUUGAGAGGAUGACCAGCCACACUGGAACUGAGACACGGUCCAGACUCCUACGGGAGGCAGCAGUGGGGAAUAUUGCACAAUGGGCGCAAGCCUGAUGCAACCAUGCCGCGUGUGUUAAGAGGGCCUUCGGGUUGUAAAGCACUUUCAGCAGGGAGGAAGGCGGUGAGGUUAAUAACCUCCCCGAUUGA
rnacentral:rRNA from 1 species